rnacentral:rRNA from 1 species
AUUGAACGCUGGCGGCAGGCUUAACACAUGCAAGUCGAGCGGAGAUGAGGUGCUUGCACCUUAUCUUAGCGGCGGACGGGUGAGUAAUGCUUAGGAAUCUGCCUAUUAGUGGGGGACAACAUUCCGAAAGGAAUGCUAAUACCGCAUACGCCCUACGGGGGAAAGCAGGGGAUCUUCGGACCUUGCGCUAAUAGAUGAGCCUAAGUCAGAUUAGCUAGUUGGUGGGGUAAAGGCCUACCAAGGCGACGAUCUGUAGCGGGUCUGAGAGGAUGAUCCGCCACACUGGGACUGAGACACGGCCCAGACUCCUACGGGAGGCAGCAGUGGGGAAUAUUGGACAAUGGGCGAAAGCCUGAUCCAGCCAUGCCGCGUGUGUGAAGAAGGCCUUUUGGUUGUAAAGCACUUUAAGCGAGGAGGAGGCUACCGAGAUUAAUACUCUUGGAUAGUGGACGUUACUCGCAGAAUAAGCACCGGCUAACUCUGUGCCAGCCGCCGCAGUAA